rnacentral:rRNA from 1 species
GGAUUAGGCAUGCAAGUCGGGCGAGAAAGCACCUUUCGGGUGUGAGUACAGCGGCGAAAGGGUGAGUAAUAUAUAGACAAUCUACCCUCGAGACCGGAACAACCUCCCUAACGGGUGGCUAAUGCCGGAUGGUGCCACGAGAGCUCAUGCUCUUGUGGCUAAAGGUGGGUUCCUACCACUCGAGGAGGAGUCUAUGUCCUAUUAGCUUGUUGGUGGGGUAACGGCCCACCAAGGCAAUGAUGGGUAGCCGGACUGAGAGGUUGGCCGGUCACACUGGGACUGAGACACUGCCCAGACUCCUACGGGAGGCUGCAGUCGAGAAUCUUCCGCAAUGGACGAAAGUCUGACGGAGCGACGCCGCGUGGGGGAUGAAGGCCUUCGGGUUGUAAACUCCUGUCAGGGGUCAUGAAAUUCGGUACGGUUAAUACCCGUGCCGUUUGACGUUAGCCCCAGAGGAAGCACUGGCUAACUACGUGCCAGCAGCCGCGGUAAUACGUAGAGUGCAAACGUUGUUCGGAAUUACUGGGCAUAAAGAGCUCGUAGGUGGCAUGGCAAGUCGGUUGUGAAAGCCCCUGGCUCAACCAGGGAAUUGCUGCCGAAACUGCUGUGCUUGAGUGUGAGAGGGGAGAGUGGAACUUCCAGUGGAGCGGUGAAAUGCGUAGAUAUUGGAAGGAACGCCGGUGGCGAAAGCGACUCUCUGGCUCACUACUGACACUGAGGAGCGAAAGCUAGGGUAGCGAACGGGAUUAGAUACCCCGGUAGUCCUAGCCGUAAACGAUGGGCACUAAGUAGAGGGGUUUU